GAUGAACGCUAGCUACAGGCUUAACACAUGCAAGUCGAGGGGCAGCAUUUCAGUUUGCUUGCAAACUGGAGAUGGCGACCGGCGCACGGGUGAGUAACACGUAUCCAACCUGCCGAUAACUCGGGGAUAGCCUUUCGAAAGAAAGAUUAAUAUCCGAUAGUAUAUUUCUCCGCAUGGCGAGAAUAUUAAAGAAUUUCGGUUAUCGAUGGGGACGCGUUCCAUUAGUUUGUUGGCGGGGUAACGGCCCACCAAGACUACGAUGGAUAGGGGUUCUGAGAGGAAGGUCCCCCACAUUGGAACUGAGACACGGUCCAA
rnacentral:rRNA from 1 species